rnacentral:misc_RNA from 1 species
CGGUGCGGGCUCGCGAUGUCACUCCGGUCAUUUGGAUAGAAAAAUAUUGAGGUUAGAUAAAAAUUGCAGAAUGGCUAUUUACAAAUUGAGGCGAUUUCUUGGAACCUCAGCAAUUUUCGCUUAGUACGCCGAUGCGGAGAAGAUUGUGAAACUUUCGCGGAUUGACUUACGAAAUAGCGCAACUACUUGGAAAUGUUGAAUUCACAAAUACAUUUGAAUAUUUUCUUAUUUAUUGUAUUGUUUACAGUGAUGUGUUAAUUGACUGUUGGUCACAGAAUAAUAGAUUUUAGAUGACUGUGUCAGUUACGAUAGCAGCUUUCUGUUACUGAUUUUUAUCAAAUGAUUUGCUGAUCAGCAGAUUAGAUACUAAAAAUAACCAUGGCCACUGUUGUGGGUACAGAUCCAGCCUUCAAAAGACCUAUGAGAAGGGACAUGAGACAGCCAAGUGUCGUUGACUUAGACAUAGAUAUGUUUUUGAAAAUUUCAAACUAUGAAGAUACUGUAAGGCAACUUGAUAUUUAUUAUGGGAUUGUUAAAAGACAGAUUUUACAUUAUCAAAGUUGUAUAACUGGAUUAUUUCCUCAAGUUUCUACUGAUAAAACAGUUGGUAGUGUGCGAGAUAGUAUUUAUUGUGCUGCAGCUAUAUGGAGCUUAUAUCAAGCUUACAGACGAAUUGAUGAUGACCGUGGAAAAUCAUAUGAGCUUGGCCAGUCUGCCAUCAAAUGCAUGCGUGGUAUUUUAGAAUGCUGGGUAAAACAAUCCUCUAGAAUUGAGUUAUUCAAACGUAAUCAAUGCGAUCGUUUUGCAUUACAUUGUAAGUUUCACCUUGCCACUGGAGAAGAGAUUUUUAAAGAUGCUGACUACUACCAUCUACAGAUCGAUAUAGUAUCUCUUUACCUAAUAUUUUUAGUACAAAUGAUUUCUUCUGGGCUUCAAAUAAUUUAUACCCAAGAUGAAGUAGCAUUUGUACAGAAUCUCGUCUAUUAUGUAGAACGUGCUUAUCGCACACCAGAUUAUGGAGUGUGGGAACGUGGUAGUCGUUACAAUGACGGUACACCUGAAAUACACGCAAGUUCCAUUGGCAUGGCCAAGAGUGCUCUUGAAGCUAUUAAUGGAUGUAAUCUUUUUGGAGAGACCGGAGCCUCUUGGUCUGUAAUAUAUGUUGAUAUCGAUGCUCAUAACCGUAAUCGUAGUAUUUUUGAGACAAUGUUACCUCGAGAGUCGAGUUCCAAGAGUGUAGAUGUAGCCUUGUUACCAACAAUUUCUUUCCCAGCAUUUGCUACUCAUGAAGAGUUCCUUUAUAAUGAAACAAAGUCAAACAUAAUUCGCCGUCUUCGUGGAAAUUAUGGAUUUAAAAGAUUUGGAAGAGAUGGUUACAAAACAGUUCUCGAAGAAACUCAUCGUCGUUAUUACAAAUCUGGAGAAAUAAAGGAAUUCGAUAAUAUUGAAUGUGAAUGGCCUUUGUUCUACAUCUUCAUGAUAAUUGAUGGAGUUUUCAAAACACUUCCGGAACAAGUAGAAGAAUAUCAAAACUUAUUGAAAGUUAGACUGCAUAAAGACCACAAUGGUGACCCAACAGUGCCAAUGUAUUAUUAUGUACCAGAAGAAAAUAUUGAAGCUGAGAGAAAUGAGCCUGGCAGUACGUUCCAUGUACCCAGUGAAGAAGGAUCUGGCCAGAAAGGAAGCAGCGAUAGUGAACCUUCUGCUUUAUACUUAUGGAAUCAAUCAAUGUUUGUAAUCGCUCAGUUGCUUACUGCUGGUUUGCUACACAUUAAUGAACUCGAUCCAAUUCGUCGUUACCUUCCAUCGUACAACAGACCUCGAAGGGCUGGAAGAUACUCUGCUUUUCAGGCAAAACCCAGCAUCGGAACACAUACCGAUCUUGUGGUACAAAUUGUCCUGAUAGCCGAGUCCAUGAGGUUGCAAGCAAUGAUGGCUACAUACGGAAUUCAAACACAGACACCUCAUGAAGUAGAACCAGUUCAGAUUUUAUCUUCAACUCAAUUGGUUAAAGUUUACCAGAGACUAGGUGUUAACAAGAAAUUAAAGCUGGAAGGACGACCUGCAAGACCAAUUGGCUCCCUGGGUACCAGUAAGAUGUACAGGGUUUGUGGAAUGACAGUUCUGUGUUACCCAUUAAUAUUUGAGGUGUCAGACUUCUAUUUAUAUCGAGACAUGGCUCUUCUAAUUGACGAUAUUAAGACGGAGCUUCAAUUCGUCGGUAAAUAUUGGAGACUUUCAGGACGUCCGACAGUUUGUCUUUUGAUACGAGAAGAACACAUGAGGGAUCCGCAAUUUAAAGAAAUGUUAGAUCUCUUUGCUAUGCUGAAGAAAGGCUACUGUGAUAGCACGAAAGUGCGAAUUGGUCGAUUGCAAAAUCUCAUUUCUUCAUCUUGUAUCGAACAUUUAGACUUCAUAAGUACAACAGAGACAGAUCUUGCUCUUACUCCAUUCAAGCAGUUGGAACAUGAUUACAUUGGUUAUCAGAGUUUGACUGAUGUCCCUCGGGCGCUAUCUUAUGUCGAGGACGUACGAGAUUAUUCUUUGGUGACUUGUUGAGAAGUGUGUAUCAGCAGGCAGGUAGCUUGCGAUAUUGGAUGGUAGUACGAUAUUGCAGCAGUUUACUGCAUCAUACUGUGGACAGUAUUAGUCCUUUCAUCACGGGUGUUUUAGUUAAAGGAAAACAGAUUACAGUGGGUGUGAUUGGACAUGAGGAAACUGUAUUCGACAAACCUAUGACACCUGCUGAAAUUCAAUCGGUCAUGUACUCAACGAUUCAACCGCACAAUGUGGUACAAGCUGUACUUCAGCAAGAAGUUUUG